rnacentral:snRNA from 1 species
GGAUGUAAUGUCACAUUUGUCAUCCCACUGAUUGCCAGGGUUGAUUCAACUUUCUGGCUGGCUGGGUGUGUAUCAUCUUCCCCUCUCACCCUCAGGAAGCUGCAUGCUUGAUCAAAGAGAUUAAUCUUCCCUAACAAAGGAGGACCAUUCUUCACUCAAGAGUAUAUAGCUUCUAGAACUUCUAAAAAAGCUCUCAAGUUAUUAAUAUAUCAAAUGGAUUAAUCCACU